rnacentral:misc_RNA from 1 species
CUUGCUCGGGUAAUGCUAUUUGCAGCGGACAACAUACCCCCUUUGCAGGAGCUUACGUAUGACUAUGGCUACGCUCUUGAUAGUGUCACUGGUGCUGAUGGGAAAAUCAAACAGAUGGCAUGCUACUGUGGUGCAGCGGAUUGUCGGAAGCGCUUGUUCUAGUUGGUCAUGUAAAGUUCUAUUCAUCUAAUGCUGCUCUUUUGGCUAAACAAAUACUGGGCAUUACUGCAAUAACAAUAAGUUGAUCUGUUGUAUAUCUGUUCUCUGAGUAUCUUCUGUUGUAGCCUUUAAGCCCUGGUUCUCCCUUUUUUUGUUGGGUUCAUGUCCUUUGAUUAAACCAGGAGUGCCACACACCAAACAAUACAAGGAUACUCUAGGUCAAAGCAAUGAUGAAAAAAAAAAAAAAAGAAAAAGAAAAGAGGAAAAGAAAAGAAAAAAGAAAGAGGAAACUUUGUGCACUAUUUUUGUGGAAGCUCAUGGAGAG